GGAAUAUUGGACAAUGGGGGUAACCCUGAUCUAGCCAUGCCGCGUGAGUGACGAAGGCCCUAGGGUCGUAAAGCUCUUUUGCCGGGGAAGAUAAUGACGGUACCCGGUAAAGAAGUCCCGGCUAACUCCGUGCCAGCAGCCGCGGUAAUACGGAGGGGACUAGCGUUGUUCGGAAUUACUGGGCGUAAAGCGCACGUAGGCGGAUUAGUCAGUCAGAGGUGAAAUCCCAGGGCUCAACCCUGGAACUGCCUUUGAUACUGCUAGUCUAGAGUUCGAGAGAGGUGAGUGGAAUUCCGAGUGUAGAGGUGAAAUUCGUAGAUAUUCGGAGGAACACCGGUGGCGAAGGCGGCUCACUGGCUCGAUACUGACGCUGAGGUGCGAAAGCGUGGGGAGCAA
rnacentral:rRNA from 1 species